rnacentral:rRNA from 1 species
UGAGGGAAAGUUGCAAAGAACUUUGAAGAGAGAGUUCAAGAGUACGUGAAACUGUUCAGAGGUAAACGGGUGGGCCCUCGAAAUCCUCUUGCGGAGGGAUUCAGUCGAAAGGCACCGGAGGCAGGGUGUGGGAGAUCGACCCGUAGCUCGGGAGUCUCCCCGUCUCUGCGGUCUCCGGUCCGUCCGACGCACUUCCCCCCGCACCACGGACGCCGCUACCGGUCGGGUAGCUGCUGGUCUGCCUUGAGGACGGACGCCGGCAGGUGACCGGGGAAUCUCGCUUCGGCGUCUUCCCCGGUUGUUAGCCAGUCCGUACCGUUGGCGGGACACCCGACCGAGGCGACGGUCUCUCUCUCGGGAGAGACUCACCGUCCCCUGCCGUCUAGAGCAGCGGGACCUUCCGGCAGACAUGCCGCGGUCCGAUGCGCGCACCCCUCGCGGUGGCGCGUCGGUCGAGGGCGGUUGGUGGCUGGGAGGUGCCCGCGGAGGGUAGGUUCCUAUGGUGAGCGGCGAGUAGGUCGGUAACCCACCCGACCCGUCUUGAAACACGGACCAAGGAGUCUAACAUGUGCGCGAGUCGCCUGGUCUUGAUUAGGCCGGUGGGCGCAAUGAAAGUGAGCGGUUCUUUACGGACCGAGUUGGGACUCCCGUCGCCUCGGCGUGCGGGAAGCACCAACGGCCCGUCCGAUCCGACACGUCGGUCGGGCGGAGUCUGAGCGUACACGUUGGGACCCGAMAGAUGGUGAACUAUGCCUGGGCAGAACGAA